GAUAUCACCGGGCUUGUAGUCAGCAAAGGCUCCUGUAUGUGCAAGACCAGCUUCGCAGGCGACGAUGCCUCCGGGGCCGUCUUCCCAUCCAUCGUGGGGCGCCCCAGGCACCAAGGUGUGAUGGUGGGCAUGGGUCAGAAGGACUCCUAGUGGGUGACGAGGCCCAGAGCAAGAGAAGCAUCCUGACCCUGAACUAGAACGACAUGGAAGAUUGGGCACCACACCUUCUACAACCAGCUGCCUGUGGCUCCUAAGGAGCACCCCGUGCUGCUGACCGAGACUCCCUCAACCCCAAGGCCAACCACGAGAAGAUGAACUAGAUCACGUUUGAGACCUUCAGCACCCCAGUCAUGUACGUGGCCAUCCAGGCCGUGCUGUCCCUGUGGGCCUCUGGCCGUACCACUGGCACGGUGAUGGACUCUGGUGAAGGGUCACCCACACUGUGCCCAUCUAUGAGGGGUAUGCCCUCUACCACGCCAUCCUGCAUCUGGACCUGGCUGGCCGUGGAGUGACUAACUACCUCAUGAACAUCCUCACCCAGCGCCUACAGCUUCACCACCACUGCCAAGCAGGAAAUUGUGGAUGACAUCAAGGAGAAGCUGUGCUAGGUCGCCCUGGACUUGGAUCAGGAGAUGGCCAUGCUUGGCCUCCAGCUCCUUCCUGGAGAAGAGCUAUGAGCUACCCUACAUCCAGGUCAUCACCAUCUGCAACCAGCUGUUCUGCUGCCCCAAGGCGCUCUUCCAGCCUUCCUUCCUGGGCAUGAAAUCCUGUGGCAUCCACGAAACUACCUUCAACUCUAUCAUGAAGUGUGACAUGGACAUCCACAAAGACCUGUACGUCAACACAGUGCUGUCUGGCAGCACCACCAUGUAUCCUAGCAUCGCCAACAGGAUGUAGGAGAUCACUGCCCUGGCGCCCAGCACCACGAAGCUCAAGAUCACUGCUCCUCCGAGCGCAAGUACUCCCUGUGGAUCGGCAGCCCCAUCCUGGCCUCCUUUCCACCUUCCAGCAGAUGUGGAUCAGCAAGCAGGAGUAUGACGAGUCCGGCCCCUCCAUUGUCCACUGCAAAUGCUU
rnacentral:lncRNA from 1 species